CGGGUGAGUAACGCGUAGGCAUCUAUCCUUGGGUGGGGGAUAACCGUGGGAAACUACGGCUAAGACCGCAUGACGACUGAGGUCCAAAGGCGCUGGGGUGACUUGGCGUCGCCUGGGGCGGAGCCUGCGUCCGAUUAGCUUGUUGGUGGGGUAACGGCCUACCAAGGCGACGAUCGAUAGCUGGUCUCAGAGGAUGAUCAGCCAGACUGGGACUGAGACACGGCCCAG
rnacentral:rRNA from 1 species